AGGUGACGAUCUUUUGGGCGGAACCAAAAGUCGGGAAACUUUGGUUCCGCCCGGAUGUUUCCGUCCAGACCGAAGAACGGAAACACCGGACAUCCGGCAGAUUUGCGGAGGCUGUAAUCAGCCGAUUGGGCACAGCUGUGCCUAGUUAAAAGAGAUCGCCAGGCAAUUGGAUAACUGAAGCACAGAAAGGAGUAUUUAAAGCACAGUUAAAUGACAGUUCAGCAGUUCGGGCACGAGAGGGGGAUUGACACGGGGAGAGCUCCUCUGCUUAGGGCAGGAGAGGUAAAUACGUACCUUUUGAAGAGCCCGCAGGCUCUGUUGAUCCGGGCUGCGCUUGAAGCGCGCGGAAAGAAGACAGGAGCUGCCUGGGGUGAAAGAAAGGCGAUACGUGAGUGGAGAAAAGGAGCACCCCGAAGAGAGCAUUGUGCUGUCAAGCUUGUGCUUAGUGUGUGCUGGGAAACGGAGCUGUGCUCAUUUUUGGACGUAGUGGCUGUCUGUGUUUUUCUCUCUCUCUCUCGUUUCAGUCUGUAUUGUGGACCUGCUGGAGUCAAUAGAAAAGCCCUAUGGGUAAGAAGGAACUUUGUUCUAACCAACAUUGAAGGAGUAAAGCAGGAAGAGAUAUUGACCGUUGGUACAACGUAAAUAAAGGCUAUCCGCCGUGAGUAUACCCUUUCUGUGUGGAAUAACUGGCAAAAAUUAACUUGUGUAGCCAUUGGAAACCUCCAGGAAAAGGAGGGCGGCCCUACCCCUACAAGAGUGUGGUGGGCGAGCCGUUAGAAGUACACAUUCAAACAGCCGCCGCAACGAGACUUAUUGUGGUCGUAUUUCACAUCGCCUUAUCGUAGCCCAAGCGCAGUGGAGGACACCGGGCGCUUCCCUUGCUGUGGUGCACUUAUAGUGUGGUGAGUGAGACUGUGUAAUAAAUCUUUUUCACGUUUGGAGUGGUGCUGUGUAUUGCUGUGGGUUGCUGUGUGUCUUGUAGACGAAGCCCCGCAUCAUCCAUUUUCUUCCACUGGGCAGAGGACGGAGAGGCCAACGACUACAGAAAUCACUGUUAUUAUACGUAGUGUGCUGUUUGGAGUACGAAGGGACGCAGACUAAGAGCCGUCCGUGACCGUGAGUAAACCAAUGGAAACAUUCGUGGUGUGAACUUACCUGUGUCUGUUGUGUCGCAGAGUCAGAGGCGAAAGGGUCCGCCGCCCCGGGGUCUCUACGAAAAGGGCGCCCCCGUCGAGGAAUCGAUCGGCCUAUGGGCAUUGGAGAUAGGGCAGCGCUCGACCGGGUGAGGUGGUGUGUGACCUUCGCCCCUCUGCUGACCUACGGAGGAGAACGUGAUACCUACCCAGAAAGUUGUAAACAGCAAAGCCGGUGAGAAAUACUCGAAGUCUCAGUAACAGUGUCUUUGUGUCCUGGCGGCCACCUGUGGAGAGAGAGCAGAACGAAAGUGAACCAUUGAAGAGCAGACUGUGAACGUGAUACCUACCUGAAAAGCUGUAAACAGCAGAGCCGGUGAGAAAUACUCGAAGUCUCAGUAACAGUGUCUUUGUGUCCUAGCGGCCACCUGUGGAGAGAGAGAGAACGAAAGUGAACCAUUGAAGAGCAGACUGUGAACGUGAUACCUACCUGAAAAGCUGUAAACAGCAGAGCCGGUGAGAAAUACUCGAAGUCUCAGUAACAGUGUCUUUGUGUCCUAGCGGCCACCUGUGGAGAGAGAGAGAACGAAAGUGAAUCAUUGAGGAGCAGACUGUGAACGUGAUACCUACCCAGAAAGCUGUAAACAGCAGAGCCGUGGCCUCCUGUGGAGAGAACGGAAAACGAGAAGGAACAUGAGGAAAAUGGACUGUGUGAAGAUACAGUGGUGGUGGAGGAGAGCCUAGAGUGGCCAUUGUUUUAAGUCCCCCGUUCCCCUUCCUUAUUUAAUGCUUUUAAGUAAUUUAAUAAAGGAUAUUUUAAUUUUAUGCUUACCUUGUGUGUCUGGUCAUUGGGGUGGCUUUGGGAAUCUCCUCGAGGUGGAGAAAGGGGCGUGACCUUAUUUACAUCUGGGUCCACCCCUACCUGUGACAGAUUUGGCGUAGUCGGCAGUCCACCUCGGGUUGAGACCAAAGUCCCCCAAUGGCCUACCACAUUUCUUUUAAAGAACAGCUCCCAUCAACACUCCAUCAGUCCCCAAACAACGCGUUCUCGGGACGAGAACGGAUUGGCGGGGGAGGAUGUCACAAGGUGACGAUCUUUUGGGCGGAACCAAAAGUCGGGAAACUUUGGUUCCGCCCGGAUGUUUCCGUCCAGACCGAAGAACGGAAACACCGGACAUCCGGCAGAUUUGCGGAGGCUGUAAUCAGCCGAUUGGGCACAGCUGUGCCUAGUUAAAAGAGAUCGCCAGGCAAUUGGAUAACUGAAGCACAGAAAGGAGUAUUUAAAGCACAGUUAAAUGACAGUUCAGCAGUUCGGGCACGAGAGGGGGAUUGACACGGGGAGAGCUCCUCUGCUUAGGGCAGGAGAGGUAAAUACGUACCUUUUGAAGAGCCCGCAGGCUCUGUUGAUCCGGGCUGCGCUUGAAGCGCGCGGAAAGAAGACAGGAGCUGCCUGGGGUGAAAGAAAGGCGAUACGUGAGUGGAGAAAAGGAGCACCCCGAAGAGAGCAUUGUGCUGUCAAGCUUGUGCUUAGUGUGUGCUGGGAAACGGAGCUGUGCUCAUUUUUGGACGUAGUGGCUGUCUGUGUUUUUCUCUCUCUCUCUCGUUUCAGUCUGUAUUGUGGACCUGCUGGAGUCAAUAGAAAAGCCCUAUGGGUAAGAAGGAACUUUGUUCUAACCAACAUUGAAGGAGUAAAGCAGGAAGAGAUAUUGACCGUUGGUACAACGUAAAUAAAGGCUAUCCGCCGUGAGUAUACCCUUUCUGUGUGGAAUAACUGGCAAAAAUUAACUUGUGUAGCCAUUGGAAACCUCCAGGAAAAGGAGGGCGGCCCUACCCCUACAAGAGUGUGGUGGGCGAGCCGUUAGAAGUACACAUUCAAACAGCCGCCGCAACGAGACUUAUUGUGGUCGUAUUUCACAUCGCCUUAUCGUAGCCCAAGCGCAGUGGAGGACACCGGGCGCUUCCCUUGCUGUGGUGCACUUAUAGUGUGAGUCAGAGGCGAAAGGGUCCGCCGCCCCGGGGUCUCUACGAAAAGGGCGCCCCCGUCGAGGAAUCGAUCGGCCUAUGGGCAUUGGAGAUAGGGCAGCGCUCGACCGGGUGAGGUGGUGUGUGACCUUCGCCCCUCUGCUGACCUACGGAGGAGAACGUGAUACCUACCCAGAAAGUUGUAAACAGCAAAGCCGGUGAGAAAUACUCGAAGUCUCAGUAACAGUGUCUUUGUGUCCUGGCGGCCACCUGUGGAGAGAGAGCAGAACGAAAGUGAACCAUUGAAGAGCAGACUGUGAACGUGAUACCUACCUGAAAAGCUGUAAACAGCAGAGCCGGUGAGAAAUACUCGAAGUCUCAGUAACAGUGUCUUUGUGUCCUAGCGGCCACCUGUGGAGAGAGAGAGAACGAAAGUGAACCAUUGAAGAGCAGACUGUGAACGUGAUACCUACCUGAAAAGCUGUAAACAGCAGAGCCGGUGAGAAAUACUCGAAGUCUCAGUAACAGUGUCUUUGUGUCCUAGCGGCCACCUGUGGAGAGAGAGAGAACGAAAGUGAAUCAUUGAGGAGCAGACUGUGAACGUGAUACCUACCCAGAAAGCUGUAAACAGCAGAGCCGUGGCCUCCUGUGGAGAGAACGGAAAACGAGAAGGAACAUGAGGAAAAUGGACUGUGUGAAGAUACAGUGGUGGUGGAGGAGAGCCUAGAGUGGCCAUUGUUUUAAGUCCCCCGUUCCCCUUCCUUAUUUAAUGCUUUUAAGUAAUUUAAUAAAGGAUAUUUUAAUUUUA